CUAAUACUCUCUUCGUCCGAAAAAGCUUGUCCCUCAAAUGGAUGUAUCUAGCAUCAAGUUAGUGCUAGAUACAUCCAUUUAAGAAACAAGCUUGGGACAAGUUUUUUCGGAAGAAAGGAGUAGUUA
rfam:Triticum aestivum genome assembly, contig: Triticum_aestivum_CS42_TGACv1_scaffold_472184_6AL